AAGUCGUAACAAGGUUUCCGUAGGUGAACCUGCGGAAGUGUGCUCGCACCUUUGUCAGAGCGUGGCAAUCCCUAGUAAAUCAUCGCCGAACAGUUUUCGAUUUAGGGACUUCCACAAAGAGUGUGCUCGUAGCGGGAGGCAAGUGGCCUGGCAUUCCCAAGCAGUUGGUGUCUGAAAGUGUCACUGGCUGUGUAAGGAAUCGUUGGAGGCCGACACGGCCGACGACCGGGUCACCGGGCUCACGCCCCUUAAUCACAACUUAAUGCAUGUCAGACGCGCCUGCGCUUAAUUGUGCGGCGACCAUAAAACUCGAACAACUGUUAUC
rnacentral:misc_RNA from 1 species